rnacentral:rRNA from 1 species
GGUGAUUAUGCCGAGGAGGUUCCACCUGUUCUCAUCCCGAACACAGAAGUUAAGCUCCUCUGGGCCGAUGAUACUGGUCUGGUAACGGAUUGGAAAAGUAGGACAUUGCCG